CUGUUGUUGUUGUUGUUAUGUUCUGUUGGCAAUGUUGUUCUCGUCAUGGUUCCGAAAACAAUAGAAUAUGCUCAACUUGAUUUUUUAAUCACACCCAGACAUUGCACUUUUGCACUCGUACUGGAGAUUCGUAAUUGCUGACUGCCUAUUGUUGUGCGUUGUGUGUGCGUGUGUGUGCGUGUGUGCGCUUGUGUGUAAUCAAAACUGCAUCCGUAUCCGUUCGAUAGAAAUAUUUGGAUAUACAUA